rnacentral:rRNA from 1 species
CCCUAAACCAUCGCGAACCCACCCCUAAACCGUUGCCUCGGCGGCGCCCCAGGCCCGCCGGCGCACCCCGAACUCUUUGUAUUUACCGGCCUCUCUGAGUACUGUACUUUAAUAAGUCAAAACUUUCAACAACGGAUCUCUUGGUUCUGGCAUCGAUGAAGAACGCAGCGAAAUGCGAUAAGUAAUGUGAAUUGCAGAAUUCAGUGAAUCAUCGAAUCUUUGAACGCACAUUGCGCCCGCCAGUAUUCUGGCGGGCAUGCCUGUUCGAGCGUCAUUUCAACCAUCAAGCCCCGGGCUUGUGUUGGGGACCUGCGGCUGCCGCAGGCCCUGAAAUCCAGUGGCGGUCUCGCCGUCGCACCGAGCGUAGUAGCAUACUUCUCGCUCCGGGCGCGCGGCGGGCACCUGCCGUAAAACCCCCCUAUUUCUCAAGGUUGACCUCGGAUCAGGUAGGAAUACCCGCUGAACUUAAGCAUAUCAAUAAGCCGGAGGAA